CAUAUUUCGUUUAAACACCUGUCGCGUAUGUUCACCGAAGUUAAGCAACAUCGAGUCUGGUCAGUACUUAAAUGGGUGACCGCUUGAGAAUGCCAGGUUCUGUAA